rnacentral:misc_RNA from 1 species
AAAAAAGCCAUAGAGCCCUCCGGCAAGGCCACCGGACAUCCGGUUACCCCCGACGGCGGGGCUGUGUCGGGCGUCCCAUCGAAACCCACAUCCACGAUGUCGGAACACCACGCACCGCCGCAGCGAAAAGCGGGGUUGAGUCCGACGGGUGCAUACAAGCAGGGAUGUAUGUCGCCGGACGCGUCGAGGGAGGAGGCGUGGCAGCGGCGGAAGGGGAGGAGCAAGAAAGAGCGGAAGCAGAGCGUGACGGCGGAGGAUCUUGAGGAAUUAAAGGCGUGUCUGGAGUUGGGUUUCGGAUUCGAGUCGCCGGAGUUGGACAGCCGGCUUUCCGAUACGUUGCCGGCUUUAGGACUGUAUUACGCCGUGAAUAAAAACUACAGCGAUUCCAUGUCCAAAUCUUCCAAUACGACGGCGUUUUCAUCCCCUGAUCGUGAUUCCCUCAACUCUCCUUCGCCUCUCGGCAGCCCUCUCGCCAUUCUUGGAUCCUCUGGGGAAAAUCCAAAGGCGGUGAAGACAAAGCUGAGACAGUGGGCUCAAGUGGUUGCUUGUUCGUUGAAGACUCAACCUAAAUAAUAAAUAUCUUAAAUAUUGACCACCAUGGUUAAUCUAAACUAAACCAUAGUUUCAAAUUUGCAAAUGGGCA